AGCCCUACUUAUGAAGGUUCUGAUUCAGAUGGUUCUGUGGGUAGCGCUCCAGGUGAAAGCCCUACUUAUGAAGGUUCUUAUUCAGAUGGUUCUGUGGGUAGCGCUCCAGGUGAAAGACAAGAAACUACUAAGGGGAACGUCGACUACAUGGCCAUGCAUUAGCGGCAGAAGAUUUCGUGAAUUAUUGAAUAAAACCGGAAGCUUUAUGGACU